UCAACUGCAGAGAGUAGAGGUGAUAUAUAUGGGGGCUUGGCCCCAUGCCUAGAAGUUAACAACUGGCAGCUAUUGUUACUAUUCCCAGUCAUCCUGUUCAAGCCAUUACAAUCCUUAGGAGCUGGAGCCAAGGGCUGCAGGUAUCCUAGUGGCUUUAUAAACAAGUAGAGUCUCUGUGGCCUCCCUGAUGCAGACAUUUUCAUAGUCAGCUGGUAUGAGUUGAAUGUUACUUUAGCAGCUGAGCCACAAGUAUAGCAUAAUAGGCAGAAUCUACUCCUUCGAAGAAAAAGACAGUGGGAAAUGGAAGCCACAGAGGUUAAAACAGAAGUCUAGGACUAAAGUAGAGUCAGGCAGGGACAGGUAGGUAGGACAAAUUACAAAGAACUUACAAAGGUCAACUAGGUAAGAAGCAACAGAGAAGAGGUGACAGUAGAUGCAUAAUGGACCAGGAAGCAAAGUGGUACCUGGUAAGUGGCCCCAAUGGAAACGGAAGAAAAGGGCCAAUCACAAAACAGCCACAGUGCCUGAAAGGAGAUGGGGACAGCAGGAAACACUGAGCAGAAGGUUUCAGACUGGCUAUGUCCAACUCCCACUUCCCAAAGAGAGGAGCCAAAGAAGAGUCCAGAGAUUAGUGUGCAGUGAACUUUCUUGGGAUAUGAUGGCAGCAGCAGACAUCCCCACCAGGGGUCCAUUUACAGGAGUGGCUGGCUUCAGACUUGGAAACCUGUCUGCAUUCAGAAGCCUCUGUUCAUAGAUUUAUUCCAACAUUCUAAAAUGGGCUCUGGCCAAAGGGACCUCAAACGUACUCAAGGCUGAAGAUAAGGGUGUCCAAAACAAGAGCAGGGUAGCACCCAACUAUACUCCUCCCAAUGCUGAGCCAACUGACUCCUGAUUCCCUGAAUAGAGUCUCAGAAUCUGAAAGGGAGGAGCCCAGGUUCUGAGGCCAGCACGUCCCUAUAGAAGUUCUGCUGGGUGUGGUCCAGACGUCCCCACUCCUCCCGGGAGAGGUACAGAGCCACAUCUUCAAAGGUCACUGGCAUCUGAAACAACAUGAAGCAUGCUGUCCAAGCUGUGGCCAGAGUGACCGAAGACCCUAAGCCUGGAAAAUGGUAUUCAGAUUCCAGCUACACUUCAGUGAGAGUCCUGAGCAGCAGGUUCCAGAUCCAAGUGGGAAGCCCAGAGAGCACUUCUUGACAGGAAUGCACAUGACCUAGAACCUGGGAAUGACAACCCACAUCAGAACCCGGCUGGCAGAACUCACACCCACAUGCAAGAGACAGCUUGAAGGGCUGACCUCGCUUUCUCCCUCCAGUUCACCUCCCAGCAAGGAUGGAGUGGCAAGCGAUGAAAGACUUGUCAAGCCAUUGCCAUAGUACACAUAGUACUCAGGGGCACUCGACCACUGAGCCACAU